rnacentral:misc_RNA from 1 species
GUAUAAGAGACAGGUGAGUCAUCGAAUCUUUGAACGCACAUUGCGCCCAUUAGUAUUCUAGUGGGCAUGCCUGUUCGAGCGUCAUUUCAACCCUCAAGCACUGCUUGGUGUUGGGGCGUCUGCAGCUCCGGCUGCAGGCCCUGAAAAACAGUGGCGGGCUCGCUAUAACUCCGAGCGUAGUAAUAUAUCCUCGCUUUGGAAGUGUAGCGGUUCCCGGCCGUUAAACCCCCCAAUUUCUGAAUGUUGACCUCGGAUCAGGUAGGAAUACCCGCUGAACUUAAGCAUAUCAAUAAGCGGAGG